UGGUGGAUUGAUUUGUCUGGUUAAUUCCGAUAACGAGCGAGACAUCAGCCUGCUAAUUAGGUGUGGGAAUUUUCGGAUUCCAGGAUCAACACACCUUCUUAGAGGGACUAUUGGUGGUUAGCCAAUGGAAGUCUGAUGCAAUAACA
rnacentral:rRNA from 1 species